rnacentral:ncRNA from 1 species
UGGUAGUCCACGCCGUAAACGAUGGAUACUCGCUGCCGGCGAUACAAUGUCGGUGGCUUAGCGAAAGCGUUAAGUAUCCCACCUGGGGAGUACGCUCGCAAGAGUGAAACUCAAAAGAAUUGACGGGGGCCCGCACAAGUGGUGGAGCAUGUGGUUUAAUUCGAUGAUACGCGAGGAACCUUACCUAGGCUAGAAUGCGCGUGACCGGCCCAGAGAUGGGCCUUUCCUUCGGGACACAAAGCAAGGUGCUGCAUGGCCGUCGUCAGCUCGUGCCGUGAGGUGUUGGGUUAAGUCCCGCAACGAGCGCAACCCCUAUGGUUAGUUGCCAGCACGUAAUGGUGGGGACUCUAGCCAGACUGCCUGCGCAAGCAGUGAGGAAGGCGGGGACGACGUCAGGUCAUCAUGGCCCUUACGCCUAGGGCUACACACGUGCUACAAUGGACGGUACAGCGGGUUGCCAACCAGCGAUGGUGCGCCAAUCCCGAAAAGCCGUUCUCAGUUCGGAUCGGAGUCUGCAACUCGACUCCGUGAAGCUGGAAUCACUAGUAAUCGCGUAUCAGCAAUGACGCGGUGAAUACGUUCCCGGGCCUUGUACACACCGCCCGUCAAGCCAUGGAAGUUUGGUAGACCUGAAGCUGGUGCUCCGCAACGAAGCCAGUUAGGGUAGAACAGGUAACUAGGGCUAAGUCGUAACAAGGUAGCCGUACCGGAAGGUGCGGCUGGAUCACCUCCUUU